rnacentral:rRNA from 1 species
GGGAUCCCGGCCUCCUCUCGAGGGGCUCCGGGCGCACCACCGGCCCGUCUCGCCCGCACCGUCGGGGAGGUGGAGCGUGAGCGCGCGCGAUAGGACCCGAAAGAUGGUGAACUAUGCCUGGGCAGGGC